ACACCACAUUUGCAAUUUGCACAUUUGAAAUUUGCAAAUUUCUUGCGUCUUUUUGAACGCCAUCUUGGAAAAUGGCCAGCAUUUUAAAUGGCAAAUCAAGUGGAUUUGAUUGUAUUGGUCUUGAUCACAUCCAUGCCAAAUUUCAUGCGUCCAUCAUAAUUUGCUUUGACAAUUCUGUGCAAUAAAUCAAUUUCUAGGGUCUUUUUUUGGCAGCCAUCUUGGAAAAUGGCAACCAUUUCAAGUGGCCAAUCAGGUAGAUUUCAUUGUAUUGCUCUUGAGCACAUACAUGUUGAGUUUCGUGCUUGUAACAUAAUUUGCUAGGUCAAUUCUAUGCUAUAAAACAAUUUCUGAAGUCUUUUUUGGCGGCCAUCUUGGAAAAUGGCCACCAUUUCAAGUGGCCAAUCAGGUAGAUUUGAUUGUAUUGGUCAUAAGAACAUACCUACCAAGUUUCAUGCUUGUAUCACAAUUUGCACGAUUCUUGCCAAAUUGGCCUUGUAGCCGCUCUACUAUAAAAGUCGCAGAUGAACAGGGCGGAUGAGGAUGUCUUUCCAGAACUUGCAACCGAAGCAAUGUGUUUUGCCAUCUCUACUGAUGAUGUCAUCCUACUUGCAGAAUCAUCCAAGAACAUAGCUGACUGCUCACACCCAACAGAAUUUGCAGACUACUCCAACCUGAUAGAAUUUGUGACACUCGCACCUUGUGAUUUUACACUACUGCAGCUACAGUAGAUGGUGAAGGGUCUUCCUGCCCAAGUCUUACAGAUACGUUGUCCCUCUCAAGCAGUCUAAGCAGUCCUCAAAGUGAUGCUGGAUCUCAAAUGACUUGGACAUGGACAUCACCCGCGCAAAAAAAUUAAUCUUAUAACUUCCAUACUUUGUUGUGUUGGCCUUUCUUUGUUCUUGUUAGCCUUUCUUCAAAAUUAAUGUCUUAAUUUUGUCGUUAAUUGUUGUUUUGUAUUUUAAGUGAAAACAUCCCUAGAAAGAUACUGGUUCUAGAAAUGGAUAGAUUAAGACAUUUCAAAUCUUUUAAUGCUCAAAUGUCCUAUGGGUGUGAUUGUAUGUUGUGUCAGAGGGUUGUAUUUUUUAAUGUAUCAACAUUGCUGACUUAAUAUAAGCUAUAUGGAAUUCACUCUUGUUCUUAUGUACAUGUUUAUGUACUUAAAUUACAACUUUAAAGUCUACCUCAUGUUAAUACAUUACUGCAUCACAGAAAAGUUCUUUGUUAUCUUGUCAGCAAUGCUUUUAUACAAUGUUUGCACUUUCUGCAUACAGAGAUGUGGUGCUGACAUGAUUUUUUAAAAUAUAUAACUGCUUGUCAAUUAAGCAGUUUGUUUUAAAUAUGAAAUUGGGUCCACACUAAUCACAAUAUGUUUGGUUGGUUGGCUGUAACAUGUUUAAACAGUUUGUCAUUCAAAAUGUCAAACAUGAAUUUAAAAUAAAAAUGUGUGGUAAUGAA